rnacentral:lncRNA from 1 species
GAAUAGGAAUGCAGUAUGAUAAGGUACAGAGUAGUGAGCACAUUUGAGAUAGUUUGUUCUGGAGAGCCUUUCUGCAAACAGUGAAUGAAUGAACGAAUGGUGAAGCACUCAAAAUGACCAAGCACUCACAUCAACAUCCCCUCGGACAUUCUGCUCCCCGUUAACACUCUCAAAUGCCCAUCCUUUGUGAAGACUUUCCUUUUCAUGUGUACUUUUAUAUUCUAUUCCCCAAUUUAAGUCAGUUUUCUCUGCUUUUGGUUAGAGUAAAUUUUGGGCAACUUGACUUUCCUAUCCAAAUCUACAAAUUCAACCAAUAUUUGUGAGCCCUGCCUAUGUAGUACGUUCGGUAUGCCCCAUAGAGCUGGGAUCAAUGCCUGGCUUAGUGCACAGGACAGAUCGUGGCUGCUUACUAGCCAUGUGGCAACCUGCUGACUAACUAUGAGGCCAUAGGCAAGUAACUUGACCCCACGAUGUACCUUUAUUUGUCCAAUGAGAAGGACAUGCCAAUCUUGAGCUGCCUAUUAGGCUCCAAGUACUGGGUUAUGUACACCUGAGCAGGGCCAUCUCUCCCCUCCCCACACACCCCCAUGCCUACCUAUGUUUCUCUCAUGAUUUUCCUGAUCUUCUUUCAUCUUAGGGCCAAAGCUUCCCCAGUCUACCUCCAAAGGAAAUCC